UGGGCCUAUAGAGGGUUCACAAAGGU
rnacentral:piRNA from 1 species